rnacentral:tRNA from 1 species
GCCCCUGUGGUGGAAUUGGUAGACACGCUAGACUUAGGAUCUAGUGCCUUCGGGUGUGCAGGUUCGAGUCCUGUCAGGGGUA